CACGUAGGCACCAAGCGUUAUCCGGAUUUAUUGGGCGUAAAGAGCUCGUAGGCGGUUCGGUAAGUCGGGUGUGAAAACUCUGGGCUCAACCCAGAGAGGCCACCCGAUACUGCUGUGACUAGAGUGCGGUAGGGGAGCGGGGAAUUCCUGGUGUAGCGGUGAAAUGCGCAGAUAUCAGGAGGAACACCAGCGGCGAAGGCGGCAUCCUGGACCGGCAUUGACGCUGAGGCGCGAAAGCUAGGGGAGCAAACGGG
rnacentral:rRNA from 1 species